ACCAGCGGCGAUAGCACGUUCAAUGCACCAGUUCCCGAUAGAUAACUGAUGUUAGGCAACGUUGCGCGUGGUUGGUAUCCAGAUGGGUGAUCGUCUAGGCAAUCGCGUCCUGAUGGCU
rnacentral:rRNA from 1 species